rnacentral:rRNA from 2 species
UUAGGAAUAUUCGGCAAUGGGGGAAACCCUGACCGAGCAAUGCCGCGUGAGUGAUGAAGGUUCUAUGAAUUGUAAAACUCUGUUGUAUGGGAAGAACGGUCAGUAUAGGAAAUGAUACUGACGUGACGGUACCAUGCCAGAAAGCUCCGGCUAACUACGUGCCAGCAGCCGCGGUAAUACGUAGGGAGCGAGCGUUAUCCGGAUUUAUUGGGCGUAAAGCGUGUGUAGGCGGUUUAUUAAGUAUAAGAUUAAAACCUGAGGCUCAACCUCAGUUCGUCUUAUAAACUGGUAGACUCGAGUAUAGUAGAGGCAAGUGGAAUUUCUAGUGUAGCGGUAAAAUGUGUAGAUAUUAGAAGGAACACCAGUGGCGAAGGCGACUUGCUGGACUAUCACUGACGCUGAGGCACGAAAGCGUGGGGAGCAAAUAGG